rnacentral:lncRNA from 1 species
UAUGUGUAAAAAAGAUGGCAUGGAUUGAAAAAAAAAUGUAUUUGCAUCUGUUGUUUCUAAUUUGCAGAGCUGGCAGUGAGGUGUUUGUGCAGACAGUCCGCAGAGCUGGGAUAUCAGUAGGCAGUUUGCUAUCAACCACUUCUGAAGAACCAGAUUCUACUUCUUUGGCCAGGACUUUUAUGUUAUGGCUGGUCCGAUUAUUUCACCCUGCGUUCUAUGCUACUAAACCUUGGAUCAUUCCUAAAGUACAAUAUCUGUUCUUGAACUACAAACAAGGCUAA